rnacentral:lncRNA from 1 species
AGUCUCAGGUAUGUCUUUAUCAGCAGCAUGAAAAUGGACUAAUACAAUAGUGUUUCAUAUCUAUAUUAGUCUGUUCUGCCACUACUAUAAAGAAAUACUUGAGACUGGGUGUAUUAGUUUAUUCUCACACUGCUAAUAAAGACAUACCCGAGACAAUUGACUCACAGUUCAGCAUGGUUGGUGAGGCCUCAGAAAACUUACAAUCAUGGUGGAAGGGGAAGCAAACACAUCCAUUACAAUUCAAAAUGACAUUUGGGUGGGGACAGAAAGCCUAACCAUACCAGGCUUAUAUCUGAAAUAUGCAUAACAGAAAUCAUAAAUGACUGGUAUUUAUAAAAAUUAUAUUCAGUAUAAACAGAUAAAAGGAAAACAAAGAGAAUACAAUUUAUACAAUCUAGUUCUUUUCAUGUUUCCAAUGUUAGAAAAUGACACCAGUCAGAAACGAGAAACCUAGAAGUCCUUCUUAUUUCCUCCCAUCCU